rnacentral:rRNA from 1 species
AAUCAACGCUGGCGGCGUGCCUAACACAUGCAAGUCGAACGCGGUUAGUAGCAAUACUAACUGAGUGGCGAACGGGUGAGUAACGCGUGGGUGACCUACCUUCGAGUGGGGGAUAACGUCCCGAAAGGGACGCUAAUACCGCAUGACAUCCUGCCUUUGGACAGGCGGAGAUCAAAGCCGGGGAUCGCAAGACCUGGCGCUUGAUGAGGGGCCCGCGUCUGAUUAGCUAGUUGGUGAGGUAACGGCUCACCAAGGCGACGAUCAGUAUCCGGCCUGAGAGGGCGGACGGACACACUGGGACUGAGACACGGCCCAGACUCCUACGGGAGGCAGCAGUGGGGAAUUGUUCACAAUGGGCGCAAGCCUGAUGACGCAACGCCGCGUGGAGGAUGAAGGUCUUCGGAUUGUAAACUCCUGUUGCUCGGGAAGAAUGGCUCCGACCUAAUACGUCGAGUGUGACGGUACCGGGUGAGGAAGCCCCGGCUAACUCUGUGCCAGCAGCCGCGGUAAUACAGAGGGGGCAAGCGUUGUUCGGAAU